rnacentral:lncRNA from 1 species
GGUAGGCGGAGGUUGCAGUGAGCCGAGAUCACACCACUGCAUUCUAGCCUAUGCAACAGAGCGAGACUCUGUCUCAAAAAAAAAGAAAUAUAUUGUUCCAACAACCAGCUAAAAGUGAAGGUGGGAGGUUGGGUUCAAGCUCUGAGGGGUCUCAUAAUCUGAAAGUUGCCUGACGUUCUUGGAAGAUAGUCCAAACUUUAGGGUCCCCACCUUGUUACUUGCAAUGAAACGGACACAGUGGAAGACAGCUUGGAGUAGGAAAAGGACUGAAGACUGCAGCAGCCAGGUGAACUUCUAUUCGUCCAUCAAGACCCAACCCAAAGUAAGGAAACCAAGACUUCGAGAGUCAAUAACUCAAGAUACCUUAGCUAGUGAAGUUAAGAGCUGGAUUCCACUCCAAAUGAGUCUCAACCCAAAGCUUUCACUCAUCCUACUAAACUAAGCCAAAAACCCACUUGAAGCCAGGCGGGAGGGCUCACGCCUGUAAUCCCAGCACUUUGGGAGGCCGAGGCUGGCGGAUCACCUGAGGUCGGGAGUUCAAGACCAGCCUGGCCACUAUGGUGAAACUCCGUUUCUACUAAAAAUAAAAAAAAUAGCCGGGCAUCAUGGUGGGUGCCUGUAGUCCCAGCUACUCGAGAGGCUGAGGCAGGAUAAUCGUUUGAACCCGGGAGGCGGAAGUUGCAGUGAGCUGAGAUUGCACCAUUGCACUCCAGCCUGGGCGACAAAGCGAGACUCCGUCUCAAACAACAACAACAACAAACUACACUCUAGUCUGGGCGACAGAGCAAGACCCUGUCUUAAAAACAAACAAACAAACAAGGAAACCCCAUUUGUAACUGCCACUAAUUGGACUAUACUUCUGGUGGGCCAUCUUCAAGCUUCGGGCUUGAAUAAACCCUAU